rnacentral:rRNA from 1 species
UACGUAGGGGGCGAGCGUUGUCCGGAUUUAUUGGGCGUAAAGAGCUCGUAGGCGGUUUGGUAAGUCGGGUGUGAAAUCCCGAGGCUCAACCUCGGGUCUGCAGUCGAUACGGGCAAACUAGAGUAUUGCAGGGGAGACUGGAAUUCCUGGUGUAGCGGUGAAAUGCGCAGAUAUCAGGAGGAACACCGGUGGCGAAGGCGGGGUCUCUGGGCAAUAACUGACGCUGAGGAGCGAAAGCGUGGGGAGCGAACAGG